rnacentral:tRNA from 1 species
GGAGAGGUGGCAGAGUGGUCGAAUGCGCUCGACUUGAAAUCGAGUGUAUCGAAAGAUACCGUGGGUUCGAAUCCCACCCUCUCCG